UGCAAAGGGACUUACGAUGCCAUAA
rnacentral:piRNA from 1 species